CCUGCCGUCGGCGACGUGGGGAAAC
rnacentral:piRNA from 1 species